AAAUUUUGUAGCCUAUUUUUUUUCAUGUGUUAAGAGGAAAUGAAUUGAGUUCUUAUAUGACAAGGAAGAACCGUUCCGCGAACGAAUAUCAGAUACUGGAAGCAGUCGCUGACCUGGUUUUGAAUAAACUUCAUCUAUGAAUUCUGCAAUUACGAGCGAUCCUCCAAGAAGUCUGUCAUCUUUUUCGAUCACUGGAACCGUUCCGACUGGAUACUUUUCCAGAAACCAUGUUGGCUUAUUUCGGAGAAGAAUAUUAAUAACUUCAUGUCUGAAUAAGAUAAAGGCCGUGCAUGUAUAUACAGUACACAAAGAAGGGCCGGUAAUGCUCAUCAGAACACGCCGUUUUAUCAUCUAAAACUUGCAGUGUUAGUUUUCUUUCCUUUCUUUCAGUUAAUUUAUCAAUUACUGUAUUUUACUCUUGCACCCGACUCAAGUUGUGCUCAGACAUCUAUUUUAUAGCUCAAUUUCAAUUAAUCGUUGUUAAAUUACACCCAAAUUAAGGAUUUCUUCAAUUCAAGUACACUGCAUGAGAAAGUGUUAUGUCGUCACUCGUCAGUACAUAUACUGUAGCGAUUGUGGAUUGCAACUAUGGAUUAUGGAAGUUAUUUAACCCCUCAAUAUUAAUAGUAUGUUGAAUUCUAUGGAAAUAGGUCACUUGAGCUAUUUCCCUGAUUGAGAGAUAUCGCGGCAGCUCCAAGCACUAGCUUUGUGCAUAUAGCCUUCUUAGUACCGAUGA